rnacentral:rRNA from 1 species
GAUGAACGCUGGCGGCGUGCCUAAUACAUGCAAGUCGAGCGAAUGGAUUAAGAGCUUGCUCUUAUGAAGUUAGCGGCGGACGGGUGAGUGACACGUGGGUAACCUGCCCAUAAGACUGGGAUAACUCAGGGAAACCGGGGCUAAUACCGGAUAACAUUUUGAACCGCAUGGUUCGAAAUUGAAAGGCGGCUUCGGCUGUCACUUCUGGAUGGACCCGCGUCGCAUUAGCUAGUUGGUGAGGUAACGGCUCACCAAGGCAACGAGGCGUAGCCGACCUGAGAGGGUGAUCGGCCACACUGGGACUGAGACACGGCCCAGACUCCUACGGGAGGCAGCAGUAGGGAAUCUUCCGCAAUGGACGAAAGUCUGACGGAGCAACGCCGCGUGAGUGAUGAAGGCUUUCGGGUCGUAAAACUCUGUUGUUAGGGAAGAACAAGUGCUAGUUGAAUAAGCUGGCACCUUGACGGUACCUAACCAGAAAGCCACGGCUAACUACGUGCCAGCCGCCGCGGUAA